rnacentral:lncRNA from 1 species
CUUCUAUGCAGACACAGUUGGAUGGCAAUUGGAAGAGUACUGGCCCUGGGAAGACCCAGCUUUGAGCCUCAGGUUGUGUCUAAUCAUCUCUCUGUCCUUGGGCCAGUCAACUCACCUGUUCGUGCUGCCACAGAGACAGAGGGGCCACAUCAGAGAGAAAGACUCUACAGCUUGCCCAGAGUCGAGCUUAAAUGGAGCAGCAUGAUUUUUGUCUGAAAAGUCUGAGAUGGGACCAGUGGAAAGGUGUGCAUUUUAAGAAGGAUUUGCUUCCCCAUCUUGUGCCUUCUGUGUCUUGCAGCACGACCUGGCCCUCCACCUAGGAAUCAUACCUUCAUCCCCCAUACUCAUAAGCAUCCUCAUUCCUGUUUCCUUGUGGAUGUCAUGGUCUGCUGUGAAGUCUGCUUGGUGACCCGUCCAGACCUGACUUGGUAUAAAUGAUUUUGUUGCAGAGAAUAACAAAGUCUCAGUGUUUAUUUGGCAUCUGUUGGGAUAUCUGGAACCCUAAACAGAACGGAGGGGAGCUGGGGUCAUGUCCCUUCUUUAAUGAUUGGGAAGACUGAGGCUUAGACUGUGCUGAGUCACUGCUCCCAGGUCACCCAGCCUGAAGGGGUUUCUUAGUCUGGGUUCCCCUAGAAGCAGGCUCUGAGACCAGAGUUUGAGUCUAAGUAAUUUAUUUGGGAGCUGGGCCCAGAAAACACAAAUGGAUGGUGAGACAAGCAGGAAGGCAGCCCACAAAGGGCAGGUUUUCAAGCCACCUAUCCCUGGUGGCAACUGGAGCCUAAUCCCCCUGGGAAACCAUCAAGCCUCAGAAUGGGACCACCUGAGGAGUGAG